CCUACGGGAGGCAGCAGUGGGGAAUAUUGGACAAUGGGCGAAAGCCUGAUCCAGCAAUGCCGCGUGAGUGAUGAAGGCCUUCGGGUCGUAAAGCUCUUUUACCAGGGAUGAUAAUGACAGUACCUGGAGAAUAAGCUCCGGCUAACUCCGUGCCAGCAGCCGCGGUAAUACGGAGGGAGCUAGCGUUGUUCGGAAUUACUGGGCGUAAAGAGUACGUAGGCGGUUAUUCAAGUCAGAGGUGAAAGCCCGGGGCUCAACCCCGGAACUGCCUUUGAAACUAGAUAACUAGAGUCUUGGAGAGGUUAGUGGAAUUCCGAGUGUAGAGGUGAAAUUCGUAGAUAUUCGGAAGAACACCAGUGGCGAAGGCGACUAACUGGACAAGUACUGACGCUGAGGUACGAAAGCGUGGGGAGCAAACAGGAUUAGAUACCCUGGUAGUCCACGCCGUAAACGAUGAUAACUAGUUGUUCGGUCACUUGGUGACUGAGUGACGCAGCUAACGCAUUAAGUUAUCCGCCUGGGGAUACGGUCGCAAGNUUAAAACUCAAAGGAAUUGACGGCUGGNGAGUGCGAGAGACACGAGGAGAGG
rnacentral:rRNA from 1 species